rnacentral:rRNA from 1 species
UGCCCAGACUCCUACGGGGGGCAGCAGUGGGGAAUAUUGCACAAUGGGGGAAACCCUGAUGCAGCGACGCCGCGUGAGUGAAGAAGUAUCUCGGUACGUAAAGCUCUAUCAGCAGGGAAGAUAAUGACGGUACCUGACCAAGAAGCCCCGGCUAACUACGUGCCAGCAGCCGCGGUAAUACGUAGGGGGCAAGCGUUAUCCGGAUUUACUGGGUGUAAAGGGAGCGUAGACGGUGCGCCAAGUCUGGAGUGAAAUGCCGCAGCUUAACUGCGGAACUGCUUUGGAAACUGGCGAACUAGAGUGCGGGAGGGGUAAGCGGAAUUCCUAGUGUAGCGGUGAAAUGCGUAGAUAUCGCGCAGAACCCCGAUUGCGAAGGCAGCGUACCGGCUCCACACUGACGCUGAGGCACGAAAGCGUGGGUAUCGAACAGGAUUAGAUACCCGAGUA